UAUCAAUUUUUUGGAACAAAAACCCCUUUGAUCGUAUUUUUAAAAGCUUUUUACUAAACUUCAUUUGUAUUUCUGAUAUAAGUCAUUUGUUUAACUGUUUUUUUUAGACACCAAUGUAGCAACAGAAACAUCUUCAGCCUUGCGACCCAUUACUUCCGAUGAAAACAAAUAUAGCUGCUUUACCUUACCCUGCUAUGAACAACGAUACAUUUCAAGUCAAAAUCUAAAAGUCAUUACAAUACAAUAGUUACUAACAUCAACUUGGACGGAAAAAAAGUACAUUGAAAAUACUAUACAUAGAAACCUAUAUAACAUAUAUACAGGUAUAUAUUUUAAAGAAGGCCUGGAUUAUGUAUAAAUAUUGAUAACAUCAAAACGAAAAUGAAACAUUAUUUUCUUUUUUAUUGUCAUGAAAACGGAACCACAAAGUAAUUGUGAUUACUUCUUUUUAGGACCGCCCAAAGGAGCACCAAUGUUUUGGCCACGUAAUUUGAUACCUAGAGCACGUUCCAUUUUAGAAAGAACUUGCUGAUUGGGAAUAGCACGACCACUUUCAUAGUCAUUUACAACUUGUGGCUUUUCGUUUAUCCGUUGAGAUAAAUCCUUUUGAGCCCAACCCUUUGCUUGACGUCCUUUUUGGAUAGCUUGUGCAACUGAACGGCCAGUAGUGGAAGGUGGUUUAACCUCAUUUUCACGAUCAAUCUUAGUUAAGUGUUGACCAGCAGGAUCUUGACUUUUGUUUCCUGUGGCAUAUUUUUUCUCCGUACCGACGAUGGCGCCAGCACGUCUAGCAGAAUUUAUUUGAGACUGUGUCUUAGCAACAUGAGUUCUAGCUCCUGGUCC